rnacentral:tRNA from 1 species
GGUUUACAUAGCUUAAUGGUUAGAGCAUUGAUUUAAUACAUCAAACGUUACAGGUUCAACUCCUGUUGUAAUUAAUACCUA